rnacentral:rRNA from 1 species
UCCGGUUGAUCCUGCCAGAGGCCGCUGCUAUCCGGCUGGGACUAAGCCAUGCUAGUCUAGGGGCUUGUACCCCUUCGGGGGUGCAAGCACCGGCGGACGGCUCAGUAACACGUGGACAACCUGCCCUCGGGUGGGGGAUAACCCCGGGAAACUGGGGCUAAUCCCCCAUAGGUGAUGGGUGCUGGAAUGCCCCAUCUCCGAAAGCGCUCAGCGCCCGAGGAUGGGUCUGCGGCGGAUUAGGUAGUUGGUGGGGUAACGGCCCACCAAGCCUAAGAUCCGUACGGGCUGUGGGAGCAGGAGCCCGGAGAUGGACCCUGAGACAAGGGUCCAGGCCCUACGGGGCGCAGCAGGCGCGAAACCUCCGCAAUGCGGGAAACCGCGACGGGGUUAGCCGGAGUGCCCGUGCAUUGCACGGGCUGUCGGGGUGCCUAAACAGCACCCCAUAGCAAGGGCCGGGCAAGGCCGGUGGCAGCCGCCGCGGUAAGACCGGCGGCCCGAGUGGCGGCCACUCUUAUUGGGCCUAAAGCGUCCGUAGCCGGCCCAGUAAGUCCCCCGGGAAAUCUGGUCGCUUAACGAUCAGACUUCCGGGGGAUACUGCUUGGCUAGGGACCGGGAGAGGCCGAGGGUAUUCCCG